ensembl:lncRNA
GGCCAUUGCCAUUCACCAGCUGCUCCUCUACCAUGUUGUUUUUCUUCCCAGAUGGCAACACGAUGUUUCACGAUAAAACUGACACAAAAAACAAUGCAAAAUUUGUCUAAGAGAGGUUCAGCAAGCAUGAGAAAAACAUCUGAUAUCUCUCAGAGCCCGCCAAGUUCGCAGUGUACAGUGCCAGAGUAAUUAUGGGAUGAUUUGAGCAGAGGCAGUGCAUGGGGAAUCCACUUCCAAAUGUAUCAGCAUCACCAUUUUCAAGAAAAUACUAUGAGUUGCUGUGGGAGGUUUACGGUUCUUGGCAGCAACUAGAGAAUUAACAAGAAGGAAAAGAAGCUUGCGGUGUGAAGUCAAGUUCUAUCUCAACUGUGAUCCCCAUGUCCCGCAGAAGGAAACUCAGAUAUUUCUUUUAUGGUCAUGUGAAACAGUUUUUAUAUAUUGAAACAGAAACAUCAAAAUUCAUUAAGAACAAAGCUCUGGAAUAUUAAUCUGUCUGCCAGUUCUCAGUCUACUGAGAAUUUAUCUGCAUGUAAG